AUUGAACGCUGGCGGCAGGCCUAACACAUGCAAGUCGAGCGGAUGACGGGAGCUUGCUCCUUGAUUCAGCGGCGGACGGGUGAGUAAUGCCUAGGAAUCUGCCUGGUAGUGGGGGACAACGUUUCGAGAGGAACGCUAAUACCGCAUACGUCCUACGGGAGAAAGCAGGGGACCUUCGGGCCUUGCGCUAUCAGAUGAGCCUAGGUCGGAUUAGCUAGUUGGUGAGGUAAUGGCUCACCAAGGCGACGAUCCGUAACUGGUCUGAGAGGAUGAUCAGUCACACUGGAACUGAGACACGGUCCAGACUCCUACGGGAGGCAGCAGUGGGGAAUAUUGGACAAUGGGCGAAAGCCUGAUCCAGCCAUGCCGCGUGUGUGAAGAAGGUCUUCGGAUUGUAAAGCACUUUAAGUUGGGAGGAAGGGCAGUAAGUUAAUACCUUGCUGUUUUGACGCUACCGACAGAAUAAGCACCGGCUAACUCUGUGCCAGCAGCCGCGGUAACAC
rnacentral:rRNA from 1 species